AACGCACGAGACCUGCGGACCUGCGGAGGGAUCAUUACCGAGUUUACAACUCCCAAACCCCUGUGAACAUACCUAUACGUUGCCUCGGCGGAUCAGCCCGCGCCCUGUAAAAAGGGACGGCCCGCCCGAGGACCCUAAACUCUGUUUUUAGUGGAACUUCUGAGUAAAACAAACAAAUAAAUCAAAACUUUCAACAACGGAUCUCU
rnacentral:misc_RNA from 1 species